rnacentral:lncRNA from 11 species
AUGAGGCUAAACACCUGCCUUCUGCCUUCACUUCUCCUGCUUGAGAUUUGCCUUUCUCAAGGUAAGCAGAAAGGGAAGGCAUUAAGGCGUUUCUCUGUUUCCUUGGCCAGUGGUGUAGACAGUUUUAGACUUUGGAUAGUGGUCAUCAACCUCCUCUCUUAUUAUGAAUAGCACACUUCAGUUUCCAUGCAGGAGACCACAUCUAGAAGACAUCUUGCUGAAGAAAAUUGAAAGUGAACACAGGCCUUCUGACAUAUGUAAGUAAGUUGUGAGUGUUAAAAUAUGGAGAAAUAAGUAGUUAUAGGAAUUAGUAAGAGGGGGGACAUGUUUCUGGGCCAUCUCAAGACCCUUGUUUUCUCACAUGACAGUUUAAGUUCUUUAGGCACCUUCAUUGGCAUGUUUUGGAAAGGCAUGUUUGUCAGGGCAUUCUUGGUAGUUCCUUCCAGACAGUGGCACUUCCCAAAACCGGGAGGAUUCAGGCAAUGGAUUGGCUGAUGGGGCAGGUGCUUCAUUUCCACUUUCUG